UAAUCAUUAUGGCAGUUUUUUUCGUUUUCUUCGAGUUUGAAAUUUAUUAUUUUUUCAGUAUAGUGAUAUGUAAGUCGCAAUUUCAGGCUGUUUCCAAGGAAUAUGAAGUGGAAGCCAUGCCAACCUUUGUGCUCAUAAAAGAAGGGCAAAUUCUGGACAGGGUUGAUGGUGCAAAGAAAGAUGAGUUGCAGAUCACCAUCAUCAAGCAUGCUGGUGCUUGGGUUGGAACGAGUUGUAAACUUGGAAGUAACUUUCAUUUAGCCAUGGAUUACACUAGUUUCCUAGUGGCGUAGGGAGUAAUGCGUUUCUGUGCUUGUGAGUGUGUGUCUGAAUCCUGUUCUAAUGUUGUUGUUUGUUGAUAAAGAUUUAUCUAUUAUUAAUAUUUUGUGUUUAUUAAUUUAUAUUUUGUUCCCACCUCUCCCUAGUAUAUGGAUACGUAACUUAUUUGGAUGAUUGAAUGGUUUAUUGAGCUGUGCACUAAACAGGGUUAGCAACAAAAAUAAUUUUUUUUAAAAAAAAUAGCCAUAUAAAAGCUACCGAAUGAAUUAUGGUCGCUUUUUAAAUUCCACCAAUUUUGUAAGGUGGGAAAUUCAAAAUAUGGCCAAAAAUUUGGAGUGGUUUAAAGGAAUUUAUUUUUAACAAAAGCGACCAGCAAAGCGGUAGCUUUUAUAUAUAAAAGCGACCAAAUCAGUAAAAGCGACCCCCUUCGAAGCGACCAACUCUUUUCGGUCGCUUUUACUUAAAAGCGACCAAAUACGGUCGCUUUUACUUAAAAGCGACCAAAUUUCGUUGGUAGCUUUUAAUUAUUUUUCUUGUAGUGGCUAAUUAUAAAGUCCAUAUAAAAGUCCGCGUACCGACCGACCAAACUUUUAAUAUUUCGGCUUUAAUAGUAUAGUAUAGAUAUGUUGGUCGAUAUAUUUUGCGAUUAUCCAAAGUAUACAAUUGUAUAGAAGACAUUUUGUACUUUUUCUGCUAGGCCAAGACAUGUCGAACUUUAUUAUUGAACAAACAGGGUAACAAAAUUAAUAGAAACUUGUUAUGUAGUUAAGGAUGGGUGUAAAUAAGGGAUUAGUCUAUAAUUUCAGAAUUUUGACUUUAAAGAAUAAAAUCAUUUUCUUUCUUGAUAUACUUGAAUAUUAAAAAUCCGAGAUGCGAUGAUUAUCACGGGACGAGCGAUACACAAGGAAAAUGAAAUGAUUUGCGGGAUUUAAUUUGUAAUGUAUAUUUCUUUUGUUUUGAAAUAAACAUACUUGUUUCAAUUGAUAAUAUCAGAAUCUAGUACACGAGGAAAUCAUGUGACUUAUCAUAUCACAUCUCCAAACUUGACAUAAAAUAUGCGACUUUUGCUAACACAUGCGCCAUACUAUUCGUAGAUUGAUAAUCAAAUUGAACUAGCAAUGGAUCUAUGUGCUUUAAUAAUUGGAUACAAUUUAUUAGUAUGCAUGAUACCAAAAAAUGCUUCGUCCAGAGUUCCAUUGCAAACCAUAGCAAGUGCCAAGUGGUUUAGAAUUGUCUCAACAAUAUUAUAGUGGUCAUAGUGUAUUAGUGUUGUUCUAUCACCCAAGACAAUACUCCCUCUGUCCCAUUUUAACUGAUGUUUGACUUUUUGACACGUAUAUUGAGGUGUAAAAAAAUAGUAUCUACGCUCAAUAAAAAGAUUUAAUUCUUAUAUCAAAUAAAAGUUUAGAUUCUAAACUUUUAUUUGAUAUAAAUUUUAUAAACAAUAAUUAUGUUUAGAUGUGAUUUUUUUAACACCUUAAAACAAGCCAUGCCAACCUUUGUGCUCAUAAAAGAAGGGCAAAUUCUGGACAGGGUUGAUGGUGCAAAGAAAGAUGAGUUGCAGAUCACCAUCAUCAAGCAUGCUGGUGCUUGGGUUGGAACGAGUUGUAAACUUGGAAGUAACUUUCAUUUAGCCAUGGAUUACACUAGUUUCCUAGUGGCGUAGGGAGUAAUGCGUUUCUGUGCUUGUGAGUGUGUGUCUGA
rnacentral:lncRNA from 1 species